GAUGAACGCUGGCGGCGUGCCUAAUACAUGCAAGUCGAGCGAACAGACGAGGAGCUUGCUCCUCUGACGUUAGCGGCGGACGGGUGAGUAACACGUGGAUAACCUACCUAUAAGACUGGGAUAACUUCGGGAAACCGGAGCUAAUACCGGAUAAUAUAUUGAACCGCAUGGUUCAAUAGUGAAAGACGGUUUUGCUGUCACUUAUAGAUGGAUCCGCGCCGCAUUAGCUAGUUGGUAAGGUAACGGCUUACCAAGGCAACGAUGCGUAGCCGACCUGAGAGGGCGAUCGGCCACACUGUAACUGAGACACGGUCCAGACUCCUACGGGAGGCAGCAGUAGAGAAUCUUCCGCAAUGGGCGAAUGCCUGACGGAGCAACGCCGCGUGAGUGAUGAAGGUCUUCGGAUCGUAAAACGCUGUUAUUAGGGAAGAACAAAUGUGUAAGUAACUAUGCACGUCUUGACGGUACCUAAUCAGAAAGCCACGGCUAACUACGUG
rnacentral:rRNA from 1 species